rnacentral:rRNA from 1 species
AUUGAACGCUGGCGGCAGGCCUAACACAUGCAAGUCGAACGAGUGGCGGACGGGUGAGUAAUGUCUGGGAAACUGCCUGAUGGAGGGGGAUAACUACUGGAAACGGUAGCUAAUACCGCAUACCAUCAGAUGUGCCCAGAUGGGAUUAGCUAGUAGGUGGGGUAACGGAUAACCAAGGCGACGAUCCCUAGCUGGUCUGAGAGGAUGACCAGCACCACUGUAACUGAGACACGGUCCAUACUCCUACGGGAGGCAGCAGUAGGGAAUAUUGCACAAUGGGCGCAAGCCUGAUGCAGCCAUGCCGCGUGUAUGAAGAAGGCCUUCGGGUUUUAAAGUACUUUCAGCGGGGAGGCGUUACCCGCAGAAGAAGCACCGGCUAACUCCGUGCCAGCCGCCGCGGUAAUUC